UACGGAGGGGGCUAGCGUUAUUCGGAAUUACUGGGCGUAAAGCGUGCGUAGGCGGUUUGUUAAGUCUGAUGUGAAAGCCCUGGGCUCAACCUGGGAAUUGCAUUGGAUACUGGCAGGCUAGAGUGCGGUAGAGGGUAGUGGAAUUCCCGGUGUAGCAGUGAAAUGCGUAGAGAUCGGGAGGAACAUCCGUGGCGAAGGCGGCCCACUGGGCCGGACCUGACGCUGAGGCACGAAGGCGUGGGGAGCGAACGGG
rnacentral:rRNA from 1 species